rnacentral:rRNA from 1 species
ACAAAGGGCAGCAAGUUCGCGAGGACAAGCAAAUCCCAUAAACCGUGGCUCAGUUCAGAUCGUAGGCUGCAACUCGCCUACGUGAAGGAGGAAUCGCUAGUAAUCGCAGGUCAGCAUACUGCGGUGAAUACGUUCCCGGGCCUUGUACACACCGCCCGUCACACCAUGGAAGUUGGCCACGCCCGAAGCCGUUACUCCAACCCUUGUGGAGGAGGACGUCGAAGGUGGGGCUGAUGACUGGGGUGAAAUCGUAACAAGGUAGCCGUACCGGAAGGCGCGGCUGGAUCACCUCCUAAC